AACGAACGCUGGCGGCAUGCCUAACACAUGCAAGUCGAACGAGACCUUCGGGUCUAGUGGCGCACGUGUGCGUAACGCGUUGGAACCUGCCCUUAUGUUCGGAAUAACUCCCCGAAAGGGGUGCUAAUACCGGAUAAUGUCUUCGGACCAAAGAUUUAUCGCCUUUGGAUGGGCCCGCGUUGGAUUAGCUAGUUGGUAGGGUAAAAGCCUACCAAGGCGACGAUCCAUAGCUGGUCUGAGAGGAUGAUCAGCCACACUGGGACUGAGACACGGCCCAGAAUGCUACGGGAGGCAGCAGUGGGGAAUAUUGGACAAUGGGCGAAAGCCUGAUGCAGCAAUGCCGCGUGAGUGAUGAAGGCCUUAGGGUUGUAAAGCUCUUUUAACCGGGAUGAUAAUGACAGUACCGGGAGAAUAAGCUCCGGCUAACUCCGUG
rnacentral:rRNA from 1 species